rnacentral:rRNA from 1 species
GAUGAACGCUGGCGGCGUGCCUAAUACAUGCCAGUCGAGCGAACAGACGAGGAGCUUGCUCCUUUGACGUUAGCGGCGGACGGGUGAGUAACAUGUAGGUAACCUACCUAUAAGACUGGGAUAACUUCGGGAAACCGGAGCUAAUACCGGAUAAUAUUUCGAACCGCAUGGUUCGAUAGUGAAAGAUGGCUUUGCUAUCACUUAUAGAUGGACCUGCGCCGUAUUAGCUAGUUGGUAAGGUAACGGCUUACCAAGGCAACGAUACGUAGCCGACCUGAGAGGGUGAUCGGCCACACUGGAACUGAGACACGGUCCAGACUCCUACGGGAGGCAGCAGUAGGGAAUCUUCCGCAAUGGGCGAAAGCCUGACGGAGCAACGCCGCGUGAGUGAUGAAGGUCUUCGGAUCGUAAAACUCUGUUAUUAGGGAAGAACAAACGUGUAAGUAACUGUGCACGUCUUGACGGUACCUAAUCAGAAAGCCACGGCUAACUACGUG